rnacentral:rRNA from 1 species
GAUGAACGCUGGCGGCGUGCCUAAUACAUGCAAGUCGAGCGAACAGACGAGGAGCUUGCUCCUCUGACGUUAGCGGCGGACGGGUGAGUAACACGUGGAUAACCUACCUAUAAGACUGGGAUAACUUCGGGAAACCGGAGCUAAUACCGGAUAAUAUAUUGAACCGCAUGGUUCAAUAGUGAAAGACGGUUUUGCUGUCACUUAUAGAUGGAUCCGCGCCGCAUUAGCUAGUUGGUAAGGUAACGGCUUACCAAGGCGACGAUGCGUAGCCGACCUGAGAGGGGGGUCGGCCACACUGGAACUGAGACACGGUCCAGACUCCUACGGGAGGCAGCAGUAGGGAAUCUUCCGCAAUGGGCGAAAGCCUGACGGAGCAACGCCGAGUGAGUGAUGAAGGUCUUCGGAUCGUAAAACUCUGUUAUUAGGGAAGAACAAAUGUGUAAGUAACUAUGCACGUCUUGACGGUACCUAAUCAGAAAGCCACGGCUAACUACGUG